ACAAAUUGCUGCUUUAUAUUUACAGACAUACAGUUCCAACAUGACUGAUUUUGUGCAGCCUACAAAUGUUCUAACAGCUGUAGCAUCAAAUGAAGAACCUCUGGGAUCACCUUUCACCUGUUUCCCAAAACCAGAGCGGAGGAGGCAGUUGCCGUCACACACUAAGAAGGGAGGAUUUUGUUGCCUCUGACAGGACACUGCUCUGCAGCAUACACUUCAGGUGUGAGGACUUCAACAGGACAGGAGCGACUGUCUGACUAAAAGAUGGUGGUGUUCCAACAGUCCAAAGGAUUUUGCUAAAGCAACGGAGGCACUGGAAAGAGACCAACUCAGUCCACUGACCACCUGUACCCACUGCCUGGUGGUCCCAACACUUUAUACACUAAACUGAAGGAGCCACAGCAACAAUGAGGGCACUGCAGUUGGAGAAGUCUGCCUUGGCAGGAGAAAGGAGGGCCAAGAGAACUACAUGUUCUACGAGAGGACUGGACACAAAAAUAUAUAUGAUGUCGUUAUUAAAACAAAUCAGUCAUGUUACAUUUACUCAGAUUUGUUUGGUGUUUGUUGGUUAAUUGAAAGCAGGCAGAUGUUGUCUUUACAUCCCUUUGAAAUUAAUAGUUGUAAUUAUGUUUCCAAUAACAAGGUCACAGUUAAAUUCUAGUGCCUUUCUUGUUACUCCUGGUUCAGUCUUGGUUUUCAGUCUAAUAAAAUAACAUUAAUUUUU